GCUUACGGCCACACCGCCUGGUAUACGCUUGAUCUCGGAAGAUAAGGUAGGUUGGCCUGGUUAGUACUUGGAUGGGAGACCGCCUGGGAAUACCAGGUGCUGUAAGCU
rnacentral:rRNA from 1 species